GCCUCGGUAGCUCAACUGGAUAGAGCAGGAGGGUUCUAACCUCAAGGUUGUGGGUUCAAGUCCUACCCGAGGCACCA
rnacentral:tRNA from 1 species